GAAGUUGAAAAUUCGGUGCAAUUGUGAAAUAUGUGAGUGUAUGGCAUGUGAUAGAUGUAUGUGUGGGUGUAGGAGAUAAUUUUCUCCUCAAUUAUAAUUCUCUCUUCUCUCUCACAGUAAACACAACACACACCCACGCCACUCUCUCAUCUCUCCCACGGCUUCUCUCUCUCUCUCUCUCUCUCUCUCUCUUCAAAUUUCUUCCCCAAAUCUCAAAUUAACCAAGGGAUCUUGGAGUAUUCUUCUCCUAGAGUCGAGUUCUAGCCGUUGAUCGCGUUGGAAAGCUCGGAGGAGGUGUUUUCGGGAGAGGUUUUGCCUGGAGAUUCUUGGGGUUUUAAUUUCAACGUUCGAGGUACUCGCCAUGGCACUUAGCUUGGAUUGCAUGGAGUGCACAUGGAGACGUCUCUUGGGAGCUUCGUUGGAAUUAUUAAGGAGUUGUUUAUCAACUAGUCUAAUUCACGUUGUGUACUUCACCUGCAAUUGAAUGUGGUAUCUUUUGGUUUGAGCAUAUGUAAAGCUAUGUAUAAACUCAUCUCUUUGAUUAUUGUGAAGCCCUUUUAAAUUGAAGACGUUUUGGAGACUUUACGUAAAAAAAAAAAAAAAAAUUUAGAGACAA